rnacentral:rRNA from 1 species
GAUAAACGCUGGCGGCGUGCAUGAGACAUGCAAGUCGAACGAACGAGCUUGCUCGUUAGUGGCGGACGGCUGAGUAACGCGUAGGUGACCUGCCCCGAAGUGGGGGAUAACUGCCCGAAAGGGUGGCUAAUACCGCAUGUGGCGACACUUUCAUUGGUGUCAUCAAAGCCGCGAGGCGCUUCGGGAGGGGCCUGCGUCCGAUUAGCUCGUUGGUGGGGUAAUGGCUCACCAAGGCGACGAUCGGUAGGUGGUCUGAGAGGACGAUCACCCAGACGGGGACUGAGACACGGCCCAGACUCCUACGGGAGGCAGCAGUCGGGAAUUUUGCUCAAUGGGCGCAAGCCUGAAGCAGCAACGCCGCGUGCGGGAUGAAGGCCUUCGGGUUGUAAACCGCUUUUGUCAGGGACGAUGAUGACGGUACCUGACGAAUAAGUCACGGCUAACUACGUGCCAGCAGCAGCCGCCGUAA